GUCUUUUAAUUGGAGGCUCGUAUGAAUGGUUGGACAAAAAGCAAACUGUCUCAAUUAUAUUUAUUGAAUUUAACUUUUAAGUGAAAAGGCUUAAAUAAAUUAAGGGGACGAUAAGACCCUAUAAAGCUUUACAAUAAGUUACCUAUAUUAUAAAUUGUUAGUAUAACUUGAGUUUAGGUAACGUUUGUUGCGUUGGGGCGACGAGAAUAUAA
rnacentral:rRNA from 1 species